AUUGAACGCUGGCGGCAUGCCUAACACAUGCAAGUCGAACGAGUGGCGGACGGGUGAGUAAUGUCUGGGAAACUGCCUGAUGGAGGGGGAUAACUACUGGAAACGGUAGCUAAUACCGCAUACCCUCAGAUGUGCCCAGAUCGGAUUAGCUUGUUGGUGGGGUAACGGCUCACCAAGGCGAAGAUCCCUAGCUGGUCUGAGAGGAUGACCAGCCACACGGGAGCGGAGACACGGACCAGACUACUACGGGAGGCAGCAGUGGGGAAAAUUGGACAAUGGGCGCAAGCCUGAUGCAGCCAUGCCGCGUGUAUGAAGAAGGCCUUCGGGUUGUAAAGUACUUUCAGCGGGGAGGCGUUACCCGCAGAAGAAGCGCCGGCUAACUCCGUGCCAGCCGCCGCGGUAAUAC
rnacentral:rRNA from 1 species